GCGAUUGCCACCCGACCGAUUCGUUAGCGACUCAAGUUCAAGAGCCAACUGCCAACUGUUUUCGAUCGGAAGUCGCGUAGGGCCUUUGCGUUUUUAAAUUCUAAGCGUGUUGGAUUCCUCUACGACGUGAACUUCGUCUGUAAUUGAUUUUACUACCAGAAAUAUUGUCACAAAGAAAACGCCGCGAAAAUGCAGUGGCGGUUAUAAUUUUUGUUUAAUAAGGGGGUAGGGGUAGGCGGUUAGUAAAAUAUUCAACAUGUCU